rnacentral:rRNA from 1 species
UACGUAGGGCGCAAGCGUUGUCCGGAAUUAUUGGGCGUAAAGAGCUCGUAGGCGGCUUGUCACGUCGCGUGUGAAAGCCCCGGGCUCAACCUGGGAAUGGCGCGCGAAACGGGGGGGCUUGAGUUCGGGAGAGGAGCGUGGAAUUCCCAGUGUAGAGGUGAAAUUCGUAGAUAUUGGGAAGAACACCGGUGGCGAAGGCGGCGCUCUGGACCGAGACUGACGCUGAGGCGCGAAAGCGUGGGGAGCAAACAGG